GUUCAGGCAUCUUCAAGCUCGCAUCA
rnacentral:sRNA from 1 species